rnacentral:rRNA from 1 species
AACGAACGCUGGCGGCAUGCCUAACACAUGCAAGUCGAACGAUACCUUCCGUUCGAGGGGCGCACUGGUGCGUAACGCGUGAGAACCUGCCCUUACGGUCGGAAUAACUCCCCUAAAGCGGUGCUAAUACCGGUUAAUGUCUUCGGACCAAAGAUUUAUCGCCAUUGGAUGGGCCCGCGUUUGAUUAGCUAGUGGGUAGGGUCAAAGCCUACCGAGGCUGCGAUCCAUAGCUGGUCUGAGAGGAGGACCAGCCACACUGGGAAUGAGACCCGGCCCACACUCGUACGGGAGGCAGCAGUGGGGAAUAUUGGACGAUGAGGGAAAGCGUAAUCCAGCAAUGCCGCGUGAGUGAUGAAGGGCUUAGGGUUGUAAAGCUCUUUUACCCGGGAUGAAAAUGACAGUACCGGGAGAAGAAGCUCCGGCUAACUACGUG